rnacentral:rRNA from 1 species
UACAGAGGCCUCGAGCGUUAGGCGGAAUCACUGGGCUUAAAGCGUGUGUAGGCGGACUUCUAAGUACCUUGUGAAAUCCCACGGCUCACCCGUGGAACUGCUUGGUAUACUGGUUGUCUUGAGCCUUCUAGGGGCGAGUGGAACAAAUGGUGGAGCGGUGAAAUGCGUAGAUAUCGUCUGGAACGCCGAAGGUGAAAACAGACUGCUGGGGAUGAGCUGACGCUGAGACACGAAAGCCAGGGGAGCGAACGGG